GUUGUUCAGUGAGCCGAAGUCGCCGAAAUGAAGGGAGGAGCAGCGGAGUCUGAAUGAGACCACUGAUAUCUACUAUACGUGUGAGCGAAACAGGAAAGCAUGGCUUGAGAGCAGUUUACGGGUGAAACAAAAUGGAGGUAGUAAAGGUUACAUAUAUGUGGUACAUCGGGAGA